AGUCCUUCCUUCAAGAGCUUAAAAGCUCACUGGGGGGGACAUACAUGAGGAUGAAACGGCACUUUAAGCCUCAACAGACUGGUCGACCCGAAGGGCUUCAUAUCAGGGUGGUGGGAGAAAGAGAGACCCCGACUGAUCAACACCAUGGUGGCUCGACAACAUUGUGGAAAUAGUCCAGCCGUUAUCUGUUGUUGUGACUGCCGAUCACACCCAUUCAUACUGUAUGUGGCCAGUGUGAUGUCAGGGUCCACCGAGGUCAAGUGUUCUACAACAGGGAUUCGAUGACAUAUGCAUUUUUUCAUCCAUUGCCUCCCACAACUUGUGUUGUGGAGAGGGUUCUAACCCAGUGUGAGCGUCUUGUACCUUUGGAGAUGGCAGAGACAAUAUGCGGUUGUCUACGAGUAUUGUCCAGUGUCAUCGCAGGACAGUCCAUAGUUGUGGUUACAAUGAAUGGGCGAUAUGAUCUCAGAUUGCCUCAGAUUAGAUGCAAAGCAUGUGAAGCCACUUGGAUUCCUGCAGUGGAUGACCUGAUCCAUAAUGACUACUGGCCUGCCACUUCUCACUAUUCAACUGUGUACGCAACAGAUGUCCUUUUUUCUUUUGAAGAGAUGAAGGUGACUGCACCAGGGAUGUCUAGCCAAGCAUUUCUUAGAAUGCUGGAUCAACGCACUGUUCGCGUUGGCCGUGUAAGUAUUCGUGGUAAUAAUGAGUAUGAGUGA
ensembl:lncRNA